GAUGAACGCUGGCGGCGUGCCUAAUACAUGCAAGUCGAGCGAACAGACGAGGAGCUUGCUCCUCUGACGUUAGCGGCGGACGGGUGAGUAACACGUGGAUAACCUACCUAUAAGACUGGGAUAACUUCGGGAAACCGGCGCUAAUACCGGAUAAUAUAUUGAACCGCAUGGUUCAAUAGUGAAAGACGGUUUUGCUGUCACUUAUAGAUGGAUCCGCGCCGCAUUAGCUAGUUGGUAAGGUAACGGCUUACCAAGGCAACGAUGCGUAGCCGACCUGAGAGGGUGAUCGGCCACACUGGAACUGAGACACGGUCCAGACUCCUACGGGAGGCAGCAGUAGGGAAUCUUCCGCAAUGGGCGAAAGCUUGACGGAGCAACGCCGCGUGAGUGAUGAAGGUCUUCGGAUCGUAAAACUCUGUUAUUAGGGAAAAACAAAUGUGUAAGUAACUAUGCACGUCUUGACGGUACCUAAUCAGAAAGCCACGGCUAACUACGUG
rnacentral:rRNA from 1 species